GAUGAACGCUGGCGGUAUGCUUAACACAUGCAAGUCGAACGGACUCUUCGGAGUUAGUGGCGGACGGGUGAGUAACGCGUGAGAAUCUGGCUUUGGGUUCGGGACAACCACUGGAAACGGUGGCUAAUACCGGAUGUGCCGAGAGGUAAAAGAGAAAUUGCCUGAAGAUGAGCUCGCGUCUGAUUAGCUAGUUGGUGAGGUAAAGGCUCACCAAGGCAGCGAUCAGUAGCUGGUCUGAGAGGAUGACCAGCCACACUGGGACUGAGACACGGCCCAGACUCCUACGGGAGGCAGCAGUGGGGAAUUUUCCGCAAUGGGCGAAAGCCUGACGGAGCAAUACCGCGUGAGGGAAGAAGGCUCUCGGGUUGUAAACCUCUUUUCUUAGGGAAGAACAAAAUGACGGUACCUAAGGAAUCAGCAUCGGCUAACUCCGUG
rnacentral:rRNA from 1 species